AUUUUCUGGCCCCACCACCGCAGCUCAGGAGCCCGGGCCCGGCAGAUUUGGGGAGCCCUUGGCUGCUCACCUUUGUGGCAGGGCUGCAGGAGCGAGCACGGGAGGAAGGGAAGGGGAGAGGUGUCUUUGUGGCAGCCAGCUCGUGGCGUGACCGUGAUGAAGAAAUGUUUCUGGGCGCCUGGCAGAGGCGAUCUUUUUUAUGUAAUGAGUCAGGAUUUUGCCAACGGAAGAAGCCGGCCGCCGACCGAAGGGCUACUGCCUCCCUGCCGAGCUCGGCACCCCGCCGGGCCGGGGCCGGGGCCGCCCGCUCCCCCGAGACCCGCGAUAUACCAAAAAUGAAGUCUCCAGGAGAUAGGAAAAACAUUCACAGCUGUUUUCUUAACAUCACAGGAAACAAUAAAACAUCAAUAAAAAAAUAAGGUCAAGAGAGAACUAUAGAACUGUUCUUCAGUGAGGUCUAAGUGGCCAAUUCUUUCUACCUGGCACACCCAGUCAAAACAUUUGUUAUUAAAGAAGUGUAAUUUGCUCACUGUGACGCACAUGCUAAAAUGCCAGUAAGAUCUACUUAAAAAUACAUUUGUAUUUGAAGCUUGAAUCUCCAGGGAGAACAAUGAAGAAGAACAAAGCUUAGUGAAAUAUGAGGUUCAGGUAUCUUUUGGAACUCUGUGAUCAUUUAGAAAAAAGCCCUUCACUUAAGGAUGGCAAAGUCAACAUCUGAGAUGAAAAUCUUUCACUGAAUACUAUUUUUGUAUUUUUUGUAUACCAAAAGCAUGCAACAACAGCAGUCACCAUGUACUAACUUUUAAAAAAGCUUUCUUAAAGGACAGAUUGUCAAAGUCAGGUAUGAAAAUAUUAGGCACUAAAAGGUUUUUGAGCAGUCCUAAAUAUCACCUUCUGUUUGUUCAGUAAUCCAACAAAAGCGUGAUUCAUCUCAAGGCUAAUAGUUGAGCUGAACUGAAACUUGUAACAAAAAUAAAUCCCUACCUUUGGAAUAUCUUUAUCUGUUUUUUAAAUAUUUUAAUUGGUAGGGAUUUGUGAAGGACAUUAAAGCUUUUCCUGUUCCAGCUACAAAAUCUACAAUAUCAAGUUCCACAAUCCAACAGUAAAAAUAAGACCAAAUAUUUAAUGAUACGCACAAAAUCUUUCAGUAUUUUGUCAGGCAGUGUAACAAAAUGAGUAAUUUCUUACUGUGAAAUACCUGAAACCAAUCAUUUUGCAAACCAGCUCCUUUCACUCAGUGAUUGUAACACACGUACCUUUGCAAAGCACACUCCAGUAGAACUCUCAGACCUUCACAAGCCUUCAGAGUUCUCAAAAAGCACGAAGGUAAAGAUGACAGUCACUAGUUCUUUGUAUCUCAGAAAAUGCUAAGUGGUAUAUCACCUAUCUUAGAAAAAAAGAGGUGAUAUACCACUUAGAGCCCACAUACCCAUUGCCACUUAUACCCACAUAUGUGGAGUUUUUCCAUGUAUCACCUUUUCCUUCAUCAAAAUUCCCAAACUUUUAAUAAAAUGUGGCGAUGCAAAAGCUUUUCAAAAAAGCCACAAGAAUAUAUUACAAAGGUAACCUGUAAGGUAACACAAGUGUCAGGGUUGCUGAUCAGUACUUUACAAAGGAAAAAAAGUGUUCUAGAAAGUUUGGGAUUUGUUUUGGUUCUGGACAUGCACACAACACACAGAAGCAUCAAAGACAUCACAGAAUAUCAUCAGCUGUCAAUCUGAGGAGACCAAGAUUUAGCAAACUGUUUUUUAUGUACACCUCCUCAGUUUUUCACAUAAUGUUGGGUUGAUGAAUGCAAUACAAAUCAUGAUUAAUAAAAACUAAAUGGAUAUAACAGAUUCUUUCAUAAGAUUAUGUAUUGUACUUUGUCAUAUGUGCUGUGUCACCUUUUAGCAGUAACAGUGUGUCCGUAUUAAAUUGUAGAUAUUACCAAAAAAAAAUGUAAAAUUAAAGUGUACGUUCUUCUUAGCAACUGAAUCCUACCAAGAUAUAAUUAUGUUAAGUAGCCUAGUGACUAAACAAAAUGCUGUCUAACAUUUGUUCUGGGUAAACAUAUUUGUUCUGUUUCUGAAAAAGAACCAGAUUCACCUCUGUUCCAAAACAAUUUACAUGAAUUACAACAAUAAAUGAGUUGGCUUUAAAAAGUG